ACGGAGUUAGCCGGGGCUUCUUUAGCAGGUACCGUCAUUAUCUUCCCUGCCGAAAGGAUUUUACAACCCUAGGGCCUUCAUCAUCCACGCGGAAUGGCUGGAUCAGGCUUUCGCCCAUUGUCCAAGAUUCCCC
rnacentral:rRNA from 1 species